GUGGGGAAUCUUCCACAAUGGACGAAAGUCUGAUGGAGCAACGCCGCGUGAGUGAAGAAGGGUUUCGGCUCGUAAAGCUCUGUUGUCGGGGACGAAUGUGCAGUAUUUGAAUAAAGUACUGCAAUGACGGUACCUGACGAGGAAGCCACGGCUAACUACGUGCCAGCAGCCGCGGUAAUACGUAGGUGGCAAGCGUUGUCCGGAAUUAUUGGGCGUAAAGGGAGCGCAGGCGGGAAGGUAAGUCGGUCUUAAAAGUGCGGGGCUCAACCCCGUGAUGGGAUCGAAACUAUCUUUCUUGAGUGCAGGAGAGGAAAGUGGAAUUCCUAGUGUAGCGGUGAAAUGCGUAGAUAUUAGGAGGAACACCAGUGGCGAAGGCGGCUUGCUGGGCCAUUACUGACGCUGAGACACGAAAGCGUGGGGAGCAAAUAGGAUUAGAAACCCGUGUAGUCC
rnacentral:rRNA from 1 species